rnacentral:piRNA from 1 species
UGUGAAGUUAGCUGUAGCAGAAUCCA